AGUAUUCAUUGAUCAGAGAGAGAAAACACACACAAACACACACCAAAAAGGUGCUCCCAGAAAUAGAAAAAAAGAACGCAAAAAAACGCAGUUACACGGUCAGUGUGAGUGCGUGUCAGAUCUCCCAAUUUUAUCCCAACUCAUCGGGAGUUCUUUUGUCUGGUUUAUAUACGGAAAGAGAGAGAGAGAGAGAUAGAGGUGGAGGGGAUAAUGAGAGAGAAAAUGUCUGAAGUGAAAGACCCCAAGAUAAAGCUUUUCGGCAAAACCAUUGAACUGCCAGACACUGCCUCCGAGGCAGCGGUGGCGGCGGAGAAGGCUGGUGAAGCAGCUCAGUCAUUUGAUGCUGCCGGAGAUGAUGAUUCGAUUCAAGAUCCCCCUUGUUCAUCUAACUCGAUGAUUGAAGAAAACGAUUUGAAUGGCGACGCAGAGGACCAAGAAUCGAACAUGAACCAAUCAGGUUUAAAACAAGACAAUAAAGAGGAAGAUCAAGCCCAGCCUUUGACAUCCGAUGAAUUAAAAGAUCCUAAUACAACUCCAUGUAUAGUUGCGGACCCUAAGGCAUUGUCUGCCGAUAGUGAUGCUGGACCCGUGCAAAGUUCGAAGAUGGAAGAGGACCAGACUGAGACCAGUAACUCACAGGACAAAACCCUGAAGAAGCCGGACAAGAUACUCCCGUGCCCUCGUUGCAACAGCAUGGACACAAAAUUUUGUUAUUUUAACAAUUACAACGUCAACCAGCCGAGACAUUUCUGCAAGAAUUGCCAGAGGUACUGGACAGCUGGUGGGACCAUGAGGAAUGUUCCUGUGGGGGCUGGGCGCCGUAAAAACAAGAAUGCCGCUUCCCAAUUCCGUCAUCUAACUGUUCCCAAUGUCCUUCAGAAUGCACGGGUGGACCUCCAAAAUGGAAUACACCACCCUGUGCUGAGCCCAAAUGGCACUGUUAUCACAUUCAAUUCAGACACACCUCUAUGUGAAUCAAUGGUGUCUGUCUUGAAUAUUGCCGAUAAAACCGUUAGAAGCAACCUGAGGAACGGGUUUCAUAGACCGGAAGAACUGGGAAUGGAGACUUCUCAUGGACAUAAAGAGAAUGGAGAUGAUCACUCAAGUGGAUCUUCCACCACUGCUGCAAGUUCAAAAGAUGAAGUUGGUAAAACCGGCUUGCCAGAACCAAUACCAAAUAAUCAUCCCUUUCCACCCCAAGUACCUUGCUUUCCCGGAGCCCCAUGGCCUUAUCCGUGGCAUUCUGUUCAGUGGACUGCUCCCAUUUCUCCACCGAACUUUCCCCCCGGUGGCUUUGCUUUGCCAUUCUAUCCUACGGCACCACCUUACUGGGGUUGUGCAGUACCUGGCCCUUGGAAUGUUCCUUGGAUUAUUCCCCCAACACCAUCACAGAGCCAUACACCUCCAAAUUCCGGUCCCAACUCCCCAACUUUAGGGAAGCAUUCGAGAGAUGACAACACUCUGAAGCCCGUUAACCCAGAGGAUGCGAGUGAAAAGGAGAGCAAUCCCGAGAAAUGUCUGUGGGUUCCGAAAACUUUGAGAAUUGACGACCCUGGAGAAGCUGCCAAGAGUUCCAUAUGGGCAACUUUAGGUAUAAAGAACGAGAGAGCAGAUUCUGUGGGUGGUGGUGGUCUUUUUAAGGCAUUUCAAAGCCAAUCGAAAGGCGAUGAAAAGGCUCAUGCUUCAGAAACCUCGACAGUAUUACAAGCAAAUCCAGCAGCGCUGUCUAGGUCAUUGAGCUUCCACGAGAACUCUUAAGCUGACCAGACUGGAGCUCUCUGCUUCUUGAAUUGUCUUGACUGCUCAUUGCAAGGAUAUCACUGUUUGCUUUGUUCCAGACAAUCCAUUUUGCUCCUGGAAACUCGAGGAUCGCCCAUUGACAAAGCUACGGACGAAUGAGGCUGGAGAUUGGGCAUUGACGGAAGAUUGAAGCUUGGUUUAAAAAGGCGUUUUUGGGGCGUGCCUCUUCGCACCCGCCUCACUGAUGAGGUGAUAGGCUCACGUUUAGGAUUUGAAUUUCCCUUUUUUGGGCUUCUGGAGGCUAAAAAUGAACGUGCUUUCAUGUUUAAGCCUCUCAUCUUGAAGUUGGCCAUGUAAAAAAAUGCUUUUAUCAGGAAGAUUUAAAGAGAAGACGGCGUAAAAAAAGUUGAAACACAAAGAAACCCUAUGGUUCUGAUUCUGAUUCUUUUGAGACUCCAGCUUCUCUCACGUUCUCUUUCUAUCUCCUAUAUAAUUAUUAAACUUUAAUUUGAGAUUUUAAAGACUUAUCACUAAUUAUGAACUUGUGAUUUCAUGGGUUUUUGUAUAUUUGCUAUGUUUUUAUGUGUU